CUCCUAUUUUCCUGCUUAUGACUAGAGGCUUUGCUUUAAUACUCAAUAUGUGCGCCUUCGCUUAGUUGGUAAAUAUAAGUUAUGAAAUGAAAGGUAAACCAGGAAAUUUCUUCUUAGAAGAAAGUUUUACUAAGGCCAGAGAAUUAUAUGUUUGCUGGUCUAAAUGUCACAAGCAUUCUUUGUCUCUUUUGAAUGCUUGGAACCAAGUAUUAGAUAGAAAUACGGGGCUGCAACUUAAUAAAGAUUAUAACGAACCAUCUGAAGUCGUUGCUUCGUAUGUUGAAAACUUUACACUUGGAAAUAAUUUAGAGCUUAUGGGUUUGAGUUUAGUUUAUAUAAUAAAUUAAUAUUUAAAUCUUUGUAAUAUAAUACUUAAAAAUCAAGAUAACAGAGAAACAGUAACAAAGAUUAUUAUAAUAAAUAUACAGAGCCAUUAUUUUUACUUUUAGACUGUAUAUCCGACAGCUUUUACUUGUUAAAUGUGUCUCUUGAGGCAAUGCUUUUUUUUGAUGUGGAAAUUUUUUUACGAGGAUUGAGAUUGGAUUUGCAACUCUUGCUCUCCUAUAUGAACGAUAUGAAACAAAUUUUUGAUAAGGCACUACGCAUAUAUAGGAGUAAAGAAGUGAAGGGACUGCUACUUCCAUUAGCCUUGUGUGCCAAGUAGAACUUUUAGAGAGGGCCUACCAAACUUUUCAAGCCGAAUAUACAAGUAAAAGCAGAUCUUUACAGGAUUUUACUCGAAAUACUUUGACCUGCAUCACAAGGAAUGAAGAAUUUAUUAAACUUGAAAAAAUUUAUAAGGAAUCAAACGGUGGAACUAGCGAUUUCUUUCAGAAGAUAACGGAUUUAUCGUUAGGCAGAGAAAUUUUGUUGUAAAAAAUUUGCGGGCGAACAUAAUAAGCAUUGUUUUAGAUAAUCCUUUAAACUAAAAAAAACGGAAAACCUACACUUUAGCUUUUUGCCACCUGGG